rnacentral:rRNA from 1 species
UACGAAGGGUGCUAGCGUUGUCCGGAAUUAUUGGGCGUAAAGGGCUCGUAGGCGGUCCAUCACGUCGGGAGUUAAAAGCUGGGGCUUAACCCCAGUCCUGCUUCCGAUACGGGUGGACUAGAGGUAGGCAGGGGAGAACGGAAUUCCUGGUGUAGCGGUGAAAUGCGUAGAUAUCCGGAGGAACACCAAAGGCGAAGGCAGUGUCCUGGGUGGUACCUGACGCUCAGGUGCGAAAGCUAGGGGAGCGAACAGG